UUACAUCACAAAUUAGGAAGAACUUGUCUAGAAAUAGCUAAGGUUCUGCUGAGAAGAGGAUUUAACUGGGAAUGUGCUCUUGGAAUUUCUGAAUUUGAAGAAGUAUGAUUGCUGAAAGCAUACCAAGUGUUUAAAAGGACUAACUCAUGAGAUGAUAUGACGCCUGGGCAGCACCAGAAUUGUUAAAAAUGGACUGACAGAAAUGUAUCUGUAGUGACUCUUUUCCUACUUCAGCCUUCAAAGGAACACAGGGCAAAAAUUGCACAAAAGAAACAAACUGCAGCUCUUGAAAUAUAAUACCAGUGGAAAAACAAACAAACAAGCAAAAACCAAAUAAAAUCUCGAGACAAAAACUGGCCUAACCAUGACAACUAGAACUUAAAUAAGAUCUUGCCACACCUUUGCAGCCACCCAUAUCCAGUCUGUAUCCUGGAAAGACUUAUGACUAACCAAAGAGACGGGAGACCAUGAAAAGAGUCAGUCAUGGAUUGGCCUCUAUGCUUGUAAAAUGUUGACCAUCUUUCUGCAAGAAGAAGGCCAGUUGCUACUUCCAGUGAUGGAUGUGUAUGGAAAAGUUCUAAGAGUUAUGCUUCCUCUCCAGGUGAGAAGACGUGGCAAUCUGCAGGGAAAGGAGACUUUGCAUGUGUAAGGCUGAAGAACCUUUACCAGGUAUGUGCACCUGCCUCUCUAACUC